rnacentral:rRNA from 1 species
UACAGAGGUGCUCAAGCGAUUGUUCGGGAUUCAUUGGGCGUAAAGGGUGCGUAGGCGGCGCGGUAAGUCGGGUGUGAAAUCUUGGAGCUUAACUCCGAAACUGCAUUCGAUACUGCCGUGCUUGAGGACUGGAGAGGAGACUGGAAUUUACGGUGUAGCGGUGAAAUGCGUAGAUAUCGUAAGGAAGACCAGUGGCGAAGGCGGGUCUCUGGACAGUUCCUGACGCUGAGGCACGAAGGCCAGGGGAGCAAACGGG